GCCGCGAUGCCACAAUGGUACUGGGCCAGACUUGAAAUCUGGUGAUCCUUAACAGGACUGAGGGUUCAAAUCCUUCUCGCGGCG
rnacentral:tRNA from 1 species